rnacentral:rRNA from 1 species
CCCCCCGCCCCCAUUCGUGCAUGCAGGCUAGCCACUGGCCCCGCCGCAUGCAUGCGGCCGCCCCUCCCUCCCCGGGUUGCCGCCCUCGCUAGACCGGAUCAGCCUACACCGUGGCCUCGACCGCUCCUGCCCGGCAAAGGAUCCGGUGAGGAAGUGUCCGCCUCGUGGUCGACAUCCUCGUCGGAGUAGUCGCCAGGGGUGCAGCUAUGGCGCUCGCUUGACCCCGUGGCCUUGGGCAGCGCCGGACUUCCGGCAGCGGAGGAGUCUAUUGGCAGCACGGCGGCGAGCAGAGUGCAGCAGGAAGGAGGUCAUCGGCAGCACGGCUUUGAUUUGGGCGUCGUCGGAGUCAUCGAGCAGGGGCUGGCCCUCGCCGCCACCAUCGUCCUCCGUCACGGAGAGCGAAAGCGCCUCCAUCUGCAUCGCUGGAGAGCUCGUGCCGGCGGAGCGCGUCGAGCCUGCGGGAGGCGAGUAGCUCAACGAGGGGGGCGGCGGCGUGAUCCGGCAUGGCGAUGGGGAUUGAGGCUCGUGUGGCAGCGAUGGGGACGGUGGCAUGAUCCGACACAGAGGACCCAAUUGCUUUUUUUUCAGGGGUCUUUUUGCCAAACGAAAUUGUAUCGAGAUGUAAUUGUCUUUUUCUUGGCCAUGUCACCCUGUCUAGCAGGUCCCACAUGCCAUAAACAAGCUUAAAUCGAG